rnacentral:lncRNA from 1 species
AGGGAGAAGAAGAUAAUUAAAAAGAAUUAGAGAGUGAUGCAUAUGCAAAUGAUAGGCAUCAGAUACCUACCAAACAGAAAUCUGAAUGGUUAACUUUAUAGAAAGUGGUUGUUGAAUUGAGAAUUAUGAAAGGCGAUGAGAAAAGAAUGGUGGCAAUGUAGCUAAAACUGCAAACGUGAUGGUGUGGAGAAGGGGUCCACC